AUUGAACGCUGGCGGCAGGCCUAACACAUGCAAGUCGAGCGGAUGAAGGGAGCUUGCUCCUGGAUUCAGCGGCGGACGGGUGAGUAAUGCCUAGGAAUCUGCCUGGUAGUGGGGGAUAACGUCCGGAAACGGGCGCUAAUACCGCAUACGUCCUGAGGGAGAAAGUGGGGGAUCUUCGGACCUCACGCUAUCAGAUGAGCCUAGGUCGGAUUAGCUAGUUGGUGGGGUAAAGGCCUACCAAGGCGACGGUCCGUAACUGGUCUGAGAGGAUGAUCAGUCACACUGGAACUGAGACACGGUCCAGACUCCUACGGGAAGCAGCAGUGGGGAAUAUUGGACAAUGGGCGAAAGCCUGAUCCAGCCAUGCCGCGUGUGUGAAGAAGGUCUUCGGAUUGUAAAGCACUUUAAGUUGGGAGGAAGGGCAGUAAGUUAAUACCUUGCUGUUUUGACGUUACCAACAGAAUAAGCACCGGCUAACUUCGUG
rnacentral:rRNA from 1 species